AAUGCGUAGAGAUCUGGAGGAAUACCGAUGGCGAAGGCAGCCUUCUGGCAUCAUAUUGACACUGAGGUUCGAAAGCGUGGGUAGCAAACAGGAUUAGAUACCCUGGUAGUCCACGCCGUAAACGAUGUCUACUAGCCGUUGGGGUACUUGAGACCUUAGUGGCGCAGCUAACGCACUAAGUAGACCGCCUGGGGAGUACGGCCGCAAGGUUAAAACUCAAAUGAAUUGGCGGGGGCCCGCACAAGCGGUGGAGCAUGUGG
rnacentral:rRNA from 1 species